UGAGUGAUAGUAAUACAACUUUAUUUGAACUACAUCAAUAAUUGUUUGUACAUGUAACAUCUAAAAUUUUCAAUGGAAACAGCAAUAGAAUCUAAGACUGAACAUAGAAAACGGUUGCAAUUUUGUGAUUUGCUAUUCAUAUUGUCGAGUCCAUGCUGUCUUUUCCCGCAUUUGGCAUCCAUUACCUGUACAUCAAUUCUUUUAUUCUGAAAAAGAAAUAAUGUAUGUUUUAAAAUAAAGGAAAAACGUAUAUCGUUUUCAUUUUAAAGGAAGCAACACAAAAUUACAUGCAUUUGA
rnacentral:lncRNA from 1 species